GGUUUCUGUGAUUUGGCUCCCUCACUUGCUGCGUGUCAGUUAGCACUGAGUUAAAGGGCAGAAAGCAGCCCUUCUGACAUCUACUGGGGAAUUACUCAAAGGAUGUUAUACGGCAUGCCUGCACUUCUGUCAUGUAGAUAGCCUUUUUCCACGCACAGCCAAAAAACUACAGCUGUAUGGGAGGGAAUGUGAUGAUUUACAGACACAGACAAUGAAAAGGAUAUCAUCACCCAAAUGACACGCCAACAUACACGGAUCAAACCACUGACCCUCCAGUUAGGUCACUCAGUAGAUGAUCUGCUCCUGAGCCACAGCCACAUAGAUAGAUGGCCCUGACAGACAUUACUUCAUACACCCAGACCAGCUAAGUUGAAGCGUGUUACACAAGGAGCGACACUGACGUCACGCUGGAGCUGCACUGCAGGCCUGGAAGCCCUAACUAGCAUCCUUGGGUCAAUCAAAGAAGAGGAAAUAUCUUCCUCAUGUCAUAGGCGAGAAAUUUCCCGUGCCCCGUCUCCGAGAGGUGCAACACACGCUCCACACAUGACAGUGUGUUAAGCCACCAUUACAUCAUGUGUCACCGCAAUAGGCAUUCAUACACUUUUGCUCCAGUACUGACAAUAAA